AGGGGAGGCAAUAAUCAGCCUGACCGUUUUGGCUCCCCCAUUUCCCAGUGGGGCUUCCCUGUGUACCUGCAAGAGGGCAAGGUAAGCCUAGCAGUUGAGGUGGGACAGGGUGGUGAGAGUAAUCCUGGCCUUGGACUUGACACAGUUGAAAGUGACGUUUCCAUCUCUCAAACUCCCGGAGCCUUGUUCUGCACCUGCACGGGGACUCUUCCCGGCAGCACCCCCACUGGGGAUGCCUCAGCCUGGCCUUUCAGCCUGACACGUGCUUCCUACUGGGUAUGCAGUUGUACCACGGCGCAGCUCAGCCUCAGGUGAGGUGAUGCGGGC
rnacentral:lncRNA from 1 species